CCAUUUUCGCAUCCGAUUGUCCUUUCCGCCUUCGGCACCCUCUUCUUAUGUUUGCUUUGCGUCUCCGGGAGCGUGAGUGCAGUGUGCUGCUGAUCCCGGAGUCUGCUCUCUCUCGUCUUCGCUGUCGUUGAUGGCGGCCGUGGUGUGCCGGUAGUGCCUGUAUCUGCGACGUGGCUGGUGGUCGUUUGGUUUGGCUGCGGAGGGCUGUUGCAGUGGUAGAGUGAGUGUGGUGGGGAGGUGGUGCAGCGGCAGGCGAGGGCAGCAGCCAUGUCGUGGCAGUCGUACGUCGAUGACCACUUGAUGUACCCGCUUCCGACGGGGCAUAGUCUGGUGGCCGCCGCCAUCAUCGGGCACGAUGGAAGUGUUUGGGCGCAGAGCGAGAUGUUUCCGCAGUUGAGCUCAACGGAGGUGGAAAAGCUUCUGGAUGGUUUCGAGGACGGGAGCUUGCUGGCCGAGAACGGGCUGUUUUUGGGAAGCGCCAAGUACAUGGUUCUGCAGGGUGAAGCUGGCGUUGUGAUCCGGGGGAAGAAGGGUGCAGGAGGGUGCACAGUGAAGAAGACGAACAGCGCGUUUGUGAUCGGGCUGUACGACUAUCCAGUGACGCCGGGCGAAUGCAACAUGGUGGUGGAGAGGCUGGGGGAUUAUCUGUGCGAUCAGGGGCUUUGAAGACGAAUGGAGCAGCGUUGAUGCGGGAGAAGCUGGGUGGGAGCAGGAGCUGGAGCGGUUGAAGUAUUAUAACGGUUUGGAGCGUAUAGUAAUGUGCAUUGGAACGGUGGGAUAGCGGUGUGCGUGAAGUCCCGCCGAUGCGUUGGGUGGGCGGGAAGUGAGUGGUAGAUAUUUGAGUUGUCGACCGUGUUUAGAGUGUGAAGACUUGAGGAUGAUAGAGAGAGAGAUGGGCGAUGGAGCUGCGGCGGAAGGUUGGGGCGAAGAUGAAAGGGAAGUUGUGCAGCAUGGAGUUGGAUGUGGUCCUUGAGCAGCGGGUAGUCUCUGCGGAGGGUGGGUAAUUUCCGUGUCGAUGGAGCGAGGAUGUGGCGGGUGUUGCCACGUGGGUGGUGUCGGGAGUGCCGGUCCGGUGGAGGACAUUUUUCGUAAUCGCAGUCGCCAUGGUUGAUUUGGUCCGGGAGCAAGUACGUGAUGGUGCCGAAACUGUUAAGAAAGUGAUCAACCAUGUAGGAGCAGCUACAUGGAGGAUUUCAGGUGCAUGCAAAUAGGAGGGAUGGAGGUUGACGGGUUUUUGAUGCUCGAGUUCGCUCUCCCAGUUGGCAAAUCAGUAAGCGCUUAUGAAUUUUUGGGUUUAUUGAGCGGAAUCUCAGUCUCGAUGAUUUCAGUGCAGGCUGAUUUUUACAGUUCACUGUCCAUGAGCUACAGUUUUGUGUCCAAUCGUGACGAUUAAUUAUUCCACACUAUUGCCAGUGUUGGUUUUUAUCUACUUUA